UAUUGCCCCGCCUAUUUCCGCAUUUACAGAAACGGGUUUGAUAGCUGCAAGCGAGGAGAGGAGCAUAAUGUUAUUAUUUUAUAUUAACACAUAGUUGUGAUUGUGUAUUCAUCAGUGAGGUUAUCUUAAUUAGUAUUUGCAAAGUCUGUUUGCUGACCAAGCUGAAAUAGUAGAAAUUCUGCGCUCGACUGCAGCACUUUUGCCAUGGAAUAUGAAUAGCUAUGAACUCCGUUUCUAUAAACUCACCUUUCACUCAAGUGACACUCGACUCAUUUUGCAAGUCUGUGGUAAUUAGAUCAAAGUGAGUAGCCUGGGGAAAUGAAACCACCACCAGGCAUGACCGUGGAGAAACCAGCCGCAGGUGUUCGCACCUUCGGCGGCCUGAACAUCCUAGGGCACCUGGCGAGUCUGGGGGCUCACCCCGCCGCCGUGGCUUACUCCAUGACCACCCUGGGAGCAGGCAUGAUGAACAGCAUAUUCAGCUUCUACUAUGUCAAGCUGUUCCUCAACAAGUACAAGAUAUCAGAAGGAGCUUUCCAUCAGUCACAAGUGGUGUACAUGGUGUGGAAUGCAGUGAACGACCCUCUGUUCGGCUACCUGCAGGAUAACUCCCGCGUACCGUGCUGCUCUCAACGUCGUCUCUCCAUCCUGUAUGGUGCUCCCUUCUACGCAAUCGCCUUUCUGCUCGCCUGGUUUCCAUGGCGAGAGUACGCCCCCGGCGACUGGAUGAGCGGCGUCCACCUGAUGGUGGCGUUGUGUGCGUUCGACGGGAUGCUGACGUUUGUGUUGCUGGCGCAGUGCGCCCUCUUUGCAGAGAUUUCAGGCCACCACCAGAGCAGGCUGAGACUCAUCAAAUACAACCAGGUGGCAUCACUUAUAGGUUCUUCCAGUGUUCUAUUCUGCGGCCUCCUCUCCCAGAACAUGGAUGACUUCCCAUCCUUCCAGUGCUUCACUGUCCUGGUGGCCGUUCUGGCUUGUGGCUGCAUGAUCUACACAGGCCUACACAGCGAGAGCCGCUUUGACACCAAAGGGUCAGCACCGAGGUCAAACUACCAAGGUUCUGGCCAAUCAACUCUUUCCUUCUCCUUGGUGAUCUCUAUGACCUUGCAGAUCCUGACCAAUAGGGACUUCCAGCUCUUUGUGCUCAUGAACUUUUUUCAGGUCUUCAUGGUGGCAUUCUGUAAUAACUUCACUAUGAUCUUCGCCGAGCAUCUGAUACCCCCCAAUGUGCUUCCGUCACUGGCCAAGAGCUUCAUGUAUGGAGCAGGCUUCAUCUGUCCUCAGUUGGUUGUGCUGAGCAGUCAGAGCCUGCUCCACAGCCUAGGCUACUACAAGAUCAUCCUGCUCACCUUCUACGUGGAGGCUGGCAUGGCUGCCGUCAUGCUGGUGCUGGGGCCACAUCACUACUACAUCCUGGCAUUCUUCCUGACCGCUAACAUGGUCCUUGUCCAGGCAGCCUUCAGUCUGUUUAACCUGCCUCUGGCUGACAUUAUCGACUCAGACCUUCAGAGACACAAGCGCAGCUCCCCCCUCUCCUCCAUGGUGUUUGGGACCAAUGCUCUGUUCACUAAACCAGCCCAGUCUCUGGCUCCUAUGCUGGUGGUCUCCUCCUAAACCAGUUUGGCUAUGAGAACCUGAAGGACGCUGGGAGGGAUGCAAACCCCAGUGACUUGGAGGCCCUCCACACCACCAUGUUCUACCUGGUGUGUGUGGUGCCCAUGUGUAUCGCCGCCCUGCAAGUCUUCGCCUGGAAGCCCUUCUCAAUACGCAACAGUCACACCGUGGACACCAUGUAUAUCGACGGCUGAGUCACUCAAUUUAUGCUGUUUAUGAGUCACUGUCUAUGCUGUCUUUUAAGACUUGAUAGGUUGCUGCAGCACUCCUAAAGGGAACAUGGGGGUGUAAUGGCCGGAGGGUACUGCAGAAGAAAACACUCCAUCUGUAUGUGUUUGUUAUGUUUGUCGGUGAACUUGUCUGGUGGUGAUGAAGGGAAUGGUACUGACCUUAACUCUGGUAGCAGGAGCACAGUGCCUGAGUCUGCUAUUACUCUAUGCAAUAAUAUUAUGUUAGUUACUGUGGAAACUGUAUGACUUAACCAAGUUUGAGGGAUAUUGUAGCAUCAGAUUACUUUCACAUAGUUUAUUAGUUUUCAGACUUUGUUCUCCAAACAAAUUGAAUGUAAAAACAGAUAUUUUCUUUGACAUUGUGUAUACUACAUACUGUUAUCAUGGGACCUGAACCAUUGUGAUAUUGUGCCUUUGUCUAAAUAGUUAAUACCAAACAAAUAUGCUAUUACUUUUCAUUCAAAUGAUUUGCAUUCAUUUGUUGUGGAAUGUUUCCUACGUGUCCUUUUACACUGAUCCCAUUUAAAAACAAUACGCCUUCAUUCAAAUAACUUGCACGUGUUAUUUACGUUGACUUUUCAAAAUGAAACAUGGACAAAACCAAUUGGAUAUUCAAAUAGGUGAACUUCAGAUUCAGUAGAGGGACUUCUGUUUUUCUUUCUAAUUAAUUUGAAGUUUAUCAAUAAAUCGAGAUUGUUUUUG